GGGUUUGAGAUGUGGCUGGACUCAUUCAGAUCCCACCGUGACAGCAGCGUGGGGCUCCCUGCUGUGUCCAGAGAAACUGGAAAUCCAGAAGGAAUGUGAACACAUCCUCACUGGGACACCUGAAAGGGAAAGUUGCAGAGAGGCACAGCCUGAUGUUCACCGUCCUUUUGGGGUUUCCAGAGGUGAUGCUGGCUGGCAGGAAGGGCACACAGAGCAGCUGGCUCCACGUUCUGUCACAUCCAGCAGGGACAUGGCACAGAUCAUGAUGCUCCUGUGUUCACCCUGCUCGUGGCUGGCACUCAAACAGCAUCCACAUUGCAAUGGGGCCUCCUGCUGCUGCUGCUGAAGGACCCCCAGAUGCAAAGUAAGGCUUUGCUUUGCUUGCACAGUGUGCUGGAGUAUCCUGCAGUGACUUUGUAAGUGAUGCUCACCUCUGAAACUUCAUAGGCUCUCAUGUGUGCUAGAGCAUCCAAAAUCUGGGUGCUGUCCACCUCCAUCCAAGCACUGAAUGCUGCCAUUCCAGACCAAAGCAUCUGAGAGGUUGUCCUCUACCCCAGGGGCUGCAGACCUCCUGUCAUGGGGUAUUCCAACCACAUUCAGCAGGAGCUGGGAUUCACAGGUGUUUUACCACUGUGCCUUUCCUUUGCCCUGCAGAAAAGGGUGACACAGAGACUGAGUUCUUGGCCCUGGCUGCUUCCCUGCCUUUGAGAUGGCAUUUCCCAACGCAGUGAUCCAUGAGGUGUGGAGAUCCAUCCCUCUCCUGCCACAGGUUCCUGGUGCACCUCAGCUGACACCCCUUUAAAGGCUGCUUCACCCCCAGGGCACUUGCUGCCCUCCAGAUGAAGGCGUGCAGCUCACCAGUGAUCCAUAGGGCAAAAAGCACCAGGAGUGAGCAAG